AGGAUUAAAUGUUAACCCCUAUCGGAAAACCCCGUUCCAUUCUUGUCCAUCUCUUCACUCCACCGCCUGAUUCCGCCUCGAUCUCCGAACUCUUUGAAGGUCAUCUCCGGACGAUGCCCAAUUCCGUCACCGCCACUGCCCCUUCGUGUCCAUCUCCUCACUCUAGUGCCACCGGAACCUUCUAUACUGGAAGACGAAACGUCCUCCGUCCUAUUCUGUUCAAUUUGUGUCCGUAAUCUCCAAUUCGCCGCAUUCUCUCUUCAACAUUUAAUCCGCAGCCAUCACCUCCUCACCGAUAUAUGAAAUUGGUGGCGGAUCAGGAACGUGUGCAAAGGGGAUAAUGGAUUACAUAAUGUUGAAUGCACCUACAAGAGUUUACAAGACUAUGACUUAUACUGGAAAUAAGUUCGUCUCUAGCAGAGGUACAGAGACAAACUGUUGGAGAGGUUCGUAGUCACCAAUCAAAAUUUAAAGUAGAGUGUCGUGAUGCUGUUGACUUGAGUGGAUGGGGAGACAUGGAGGAGCAGCCGUGUUGGGUAAUUAUGCUUGAGGUAUAUCUCAUCUUUAGCUCUUGUAUAUCUUCACAAAGUUCACGUACUGUUGAGGUUGUGAACAUGAAAGAAUACAUAGAUCAAUUUUCCAUGUUUGUGUGUAUUUUGGGAAAUAAAUGUUAACUGAUAUAUUUGCCUUUUGGUACCAAAAUUAGCACUAGUCAAUCUUGCACUUACGCAUACGAAGGAGGAGAUCGUUCACGAGAAACUGAAACCAUGCUUGAUUAUAAACUUACGGAGAAGAGUUAAAGAUUAACCUGUGGAAAAUUUGAAAUGGUUGACUUCUAAUUAAGCACUUGAAAAAUUAAACCAAAUAUAUCUAAAAUAAGUGGUAAAUUAUAUAUACAACUGUCAGCAAAUAUGUGGUAAAUUGAAAAUUGUGAUAUUCCAUGUGAUUACUUUGAAAAUGUUAUAGUUUUUAAGUUGAAACAACUGAGAAUAUAUUUCCCAGAACACAAGUCAGAUUCUGUGGACUUUGAUGAAGAAUUUGAUGUACGCUUUGAAGAUGAAUCUGUAUGUCCAUUUUUCCUUUCUCUACUUUAUUCAUAUUUAAUAGUAACUUUAGUGGUUUGCUUCUUCCCUCUUUCCUUUGAGCACCCAAGGCACGGGUCCCUUGGAAAAAUUCCAAGGAAACGAGCAGCUCAUCACCGUGAAAAAGGUUCUUUCUUUUUUUAAUGUUUUAACUAGUUUAACUCAUUAUGUUUGAACGUAAGUGUAUCUUGAUUAAAACAGCUAAAGAGACAUGAUAUUUGGUUGAUGAGUGAAAUUUUUAAUGCAUUAUGUUUAGCAACGAAAGAGAUAUAUGAGACUAGUUUAACACAUAUGAGACUAGUUUAAUGUUUUAUGUUUUGACUAGUUUAACUGCUUUUUCGGUUAAUUACAAGGCUGGAAUGACCCACAUUGUCAGGGAGGUUGAGAAGCUCGGAUCUAGUACGUGUUCUUUGAAUUCACUAAUCUAUUUGGAUGACCUUGUUGUGUGGACACUCUAGUUAUUCUUCUAUAAUCUCACUAUUGUUUUUUUUCAAUCUUACAUUAAUUGUAAUGUUUCUUAAUUACAUUUAAUUAACUUUUUACAGGUAAUGUUCUUUAGUCAUACUCUAAAAUGAGAUUUUGUUUUAUAUGUUGAUAAACUUUGUAUGAAUUCAUUAUAUUGUCGUAUAUUACACCAACCAUUUGACACUA